rnacentral:rRNA from 1 species
GAAGGUGGCCUGUGAGGGUUGCUGGAGGUAUCAGAAGUGCGAAUGCUGACAUAAGUAACGAUAAAGCGGGUGAAAAGCCCGCUCGCCGGAAGACCAAGGGUUCCUGUCCAACGUUAAUCGGGGCAGGGUGAGUCGACCCCUAAGGCGAGGCCGAAAGGCGUAGUCGAUGGGAAACGGGUUAAUAUUCCCGUACUUGGUGUUACUGCGAAGGGGGGACGGAGAAGGCUAUGUUGGCCGGGCGACGGUUGUCCCGGUUUAAGCGUGUAGGUGUGUGUUCCAGGUAAAUCCGGUUCACUUUAACACUGAGGCGUGACGACGAGGCACUACGGUGCUGAAGCAACAAAUGCCCUGCUUCCAGGAAAAGCCUCUAAGCAUCAGGUAACAUCAAAUCGUACCCCAAACCGACACAGGUGGUCAGGUAGAGAAUACCAAGGCGCUUGAGAGAACUCGGGUGAAGGAACUAGGCAAAAUGGUGCCGUAACUUCGGGAGAAGGCACGCUGACACGUAGGUGAAGUGAUUUACUCAUGGAGCUGAAGUCAGUCGAAGAUACCAGCUGGCUGCAACUGUUUAUUAAAAACACAGCACUGUGCAAACACGAAAGUGGACGUAUACGGUGUGACGCCUGCCCGGUGCCGGAAGGUUAAUUGAUGGGGUCAGCGCAAGCGAAGCUCCUGAUCGAAGCCCCGGUAAACGGCGGCCGUAACUAUAACGGUCCUAAGGUAGCGAAAUUCCUUGUCGGGUAAGUUCCGACCUGCACGAAUGGCGUAAUGAUGGCCAGGCUGUCUCCACCCGAGACUCAGUGAAAUUGAACUCGCUGUGAAGAUGCAGUGUACCCGCGGCAAGACGGAAAGACCCCGUGAACCUUUACUAUAGCUUGACACUGAACAUUGAGCCUUGAUGUGUAGGAUAGGUGGGAGGCUUUGAAGUGUGGACGCCAGUCUGCAUGGAGCCGACCUUGAAAUACCACCCUUUAAUGUUUGAUGUUCUAACGUGGACCCGUGAUCCGGGUUGCGGACAGUGUCUGGUGGGUAGUUUGACUGGGGCGGUCUCCUCCUAAAGAGUAACGGAGGAGCACGAAGGUUGGCUAAUCCUGGUCGGACAUCAGGAGGUUAGUGCAAUGGCAUAAGCCAGCUUGACUGCGAGCGUGACGGCGCGAGCAGGUGCGAAAGCAGGUCAUAGUGAUCCGGUGGUUCUGAAUGGAAGGGCCAUCGCUCAACGGAUAAAAGGUACUCCGGGGAUAACAGGCUGAUACCGCCCAAGAGUUCAUAUCGACGGCGGUGUUUGGCACCUCGAUGUCGGCUCAUCACAUCCUGGGGCUGAAGUAGGUCCCAAGGGUAUGGCUGUUCGCCAUUUAAAGUGGUACGCGAGCUGGGUUUAGAACGUCGUGAGACAGUUCGGUCCCUAUCUGCCGUGGGCGCUGGAGAACUGAGGGGGGCUGCUCCUAGUACGAGAGGACCGGAGUGGACGCAUCACUGGUGUUCGGGUUGUCAUGCCAAUGGCACUGCCCGGUAGCUAAAUGCGGAAGAGAUAAGUGCUGAAAGCAUCUAAGCACGAAACUUGCCCCGAGAUGAGUUCUCCCUGAGACUUAAAGUCUCCUGAAGGAACGUUGAAGACGACGACGUUGAUAGGCCGGGUGUGUAAGCGCAGCGAUGCGUUGAGCUAACCGGUACUAAUGAACCGUGAGGCUUAACCUUACAACGCCGAAG